rnacentral:rRNA from 1 species
UACGUAGGGGGCAAGCGUUGUCCGGAUUUAUUGGGCGUAAAGAGCGUGUAGGCGGCCAGGUAGGUCCGCUGUGAAAACUCGAGGCUCAACCUCGAGAUGUCGGCGGAAACCAUCUGGCUAGAGUCCGGAAGAGGAGAGUGGAAUUCCUGGUGUAGCGGUGAAAUGCGCAGAUAUCAGGAAGAACACCAAUGGCGAAAGCAGCUUUCUGGGACGGUACUGACGCUGAGACGCGAAAGCGUGGGGAGCGAACAGG